GACAGAGGGUGCAAACGUUGUUCGGAUUUACUGGGCGUAAAGCGCGUGUAGGCGGCUUUGCAAGUCGGAUGUGAAAGCCCACGGCUCAACCGUGGAAGUGCAUCCGAAACUGCAUAGCUGGAGUCCCGGAGAGGAAGGUGGAAUGCUUGGUGUAGAGGUGAAAUUCGUAGAUAUCAAGCAGAACACCUGCGGCGAAGGCGGCCUUCUGGACGGUGACUGACGCUGAGACGCGAAAGCG
rnacentral:rRNA from 1 species